ACGAACGCUGGCGGCGUGCUUAACACCUGCCAGUCGCACGGAAAGGCCCUGCUUUUGUGGGGUGCUCGAGUGGCGAACGGGUGAGUAACACGUGAGUAACCUGCCCUUGACUUUGGGAUAACUUCGGGAAACUGGGGCUAAUACCGGAUAGGAGCUCCUGCUGCAUGGUGGGGGUUGGAAAGUUUCGGCGGUUGGGGAUGGACUCGCGGCUUAUCAGCUUGUUGGUGGGGUAGUGGCUUACCAAGGCUUUGACGGGUAGCCGGCCUGAGAGGGUGACCGGCCACAUUGGGACUGAGAUACGGCCCAGACUCCUACGGGAGGCAGCAGUGGGGAGUAUUGCACAGUGGGCGGAAGCCUGAUGCAGCAACGCCGCGUGCGGGAUGACGGCCUUCGGGUUGUAAACCGCUUUCGCCUGUGACGAAGCGUGAGUGACGGUAAUGGGUAAAGAAGCACCGGCUAACUACGUG
rnacentral:rRNA from 1 species